ACAUGGAGUGUAAUACCAUGGCGUGAAGUGGGUGUGGCACUACCAAACUCUUAGACUCUACACAGGUGCAAAACAUUUCCAAUGAAUGGAGAACUGAUGCCUUUAAUAACAUAGAAGUCCACCUCACUCAACCCCCAUAUGUGAUCUUUCAUAUAGAGAUCUCAGAACAUAGACAGCAAACCUGACUUCCAGAUGUCAGAGGAAGAAGAUUCUAUUCCAAAUGUUAAAAGAUCUCUAAAAAGGAAGCUGGUGAAACACAGCACUCCAGUGGACUCAAUGCUCUCAAGAAAAACGCUGUCUCUUUCAGGUCCAAUCAAUUGGUUAGUCAAGGACCAAGAUCUCAGUAAGAGAGCUUAUGUAUCCCCAGUGCCAAAAUCAACUCCAGGAAGAUCAGUAGCUCAACUAUCACUAGCAAGUGUUGAAGCAUACUUCCCUUAUAUGUCUCCUAAAAGGUUUUCAGCAGUAUUUGACUUGCAAGAUUCCAGCAGAGAGAUAAGCCAAAGUUCUCAAGUUGUGUAUUCAGGAAGACGACUUUCCACAGUACUGGCAUCUGAUGAAUCAAAUGAAGAGGCAAGUGAAAAGGCUGUCUCGAGUGUGGAAACUCAGACUCCCACAGAAGCAUCUGAGAAGAUUGCAGUAACUCCCAAGAGUGGAUCUUCAUGGAUGGUUUCUGGAAUACCAGGAAUAAAAGAUCCUCCAAUGUUGAAAAAGAAGAAAAUUGAUAAAGCUACUGUGAGAAAGAAACAAAGAGAAUGGGUGCUUCGCCAACUUAUAAACAUUGAGGAAGCAACUAAACAUGAAUUAACAAUUGAAGAAUCUUGAUCAAACUACUCUUGAAAGUAAUGCUGUUUCGUGCUUGUUUUGUAAAUAGCAAAUUGCAAUAAAGUGCACAUCCAACUAAUCUGCAAUGCCUAUUGGUCUUACUAUUCCCUACUGAAUUUGGUUGGUUUUUGAAUUUUGGGAUUCUUCUCACCUCUGAAGUCUAAGAGAUGUCAGCUACUGCUUCUACAUGAAAGACAAUGUUAAUCUACAGUAGCUAAAUGCCUGGAAUAAAGGAAGGGAGAGAGUAAAGUAAAAAUUGUUCUUCAUCCUGCCACAGUUGCCACUUAUCACAAUUGUUUGUAUAGCAUUCAAAUCUUCUAGGGUUGCUGAUGUUCCUGAAGUGACAAAGUCCUGGUGGCCACAUGAAUGUAAUCCUGGUUUGUCAGCAAAGAAUCUCCUCAUCUAAAGAGUAAUAAAAGCAUGCAAUCAGAAAUGUUUUUACUGUUAGCUGGGGAGAUGAGGAAAUAGUGAGAGGCACCAGGUUGGGAGUCCAAUCUUUAGAGAUUACUAUCAGGUUUGAAGAUUUGGUUUUGAGUUUGCUCUGGCUUGUAUUCUAAGUAUGCUACACAGUCACAUCUGAGAUUGUUACUGCUUCACUUAGUGUUUUGAAAGUAUGCUUUUUUUUUUUUUUUGUCCCUUUCUCAAGAUGCUGGGGUGGAUGUUGACAUUUUAGCUUAAAGCAGCUGUUUGUGAAGUAUUU
rnacentral:lncRNA from 7 species